UACGGAGGGAGCUAGCGUUGUUCGGAAUUACUGGGCGUAAAGCGCGCGUAGGCGGCUAUUUAAGUCAGAGGUGAAAGCCUGGAGCUCAACUCCAGAACUGCCUUUGAGACUGGAUAGCUAGAAUCCUGGAGAGGUGAGUGGAAUUCCGAGUGUAGAGGUGAAAUUCGUAGAUAUUCGGAAGAACACCAGUGGCGAAGGCGGCUCACUGGACAGGUAUUGACGCUGAGGUGCGAAAGCGUGGGGAGCAAACAGG
rnacentral:rRNA from 1 species